AUGGAGACCUCAUCAUGGCUCCGCUUCCCAAACCCAUUGCUCCCAAUGCCACAGGGUGUGCCAGCACAGCCCAGCUCACCACAGCCACCUGCAGGCAAGUGCCAUCAGCCCUGCUGGAGCUCACUGCCCUACUAUCUGACACGCCAGGCAGUGUUCGGCCAGGCAAACACUUGCCAUAGAGAAUUUAUCCUGUCAGGUUAUUGCAUAUGUAGUUUCUGUCACUAUAUCACGACCUUUCUCACACACAGGAUAGGAGCCAGGGGAAAGAAUGUGUUGGGUUCAGACUUCUUGGAUGGACCACACAGCAGAAACUCAGGUUAGCAAGCAUGGAGCCAGCUGAGAACAGAGUACAAUAUUAAAAGGAACAAAAGAGGAGAGGGGAACUCUCACUGGUACCUACAAAUAUAUUUCCCAAAGCACACCAUGAAAGAAAUGAUUGAGACAGAAAGAAAGAAAGAAGAGGAUGAAGAAAGAUGAGAAUAUGCCACAGGUGGGAAGAGCAUGAAAACAAUAACCCAUCAUUGUGCCAAAAAUCUCAAUUAAUAGGUGACAGGUAUGUAAUUCUGUUUUAAAGGCAAAACUGUAUCAUAAAAGAGAUGUUGGCAGGUUUAGAAAACAAAUGCCAAAUGUGUUCAGUCUUGCCUUUGAGCAGUGUUUCUUUUCAGUUGUCUUUAGUUUUUGUAAAUUUUAUUUAGUUUCCUGCAGUUCCCUUGCCAGCUCUGUCAGCUCUGGCCAUAGAUCUGAGGGAUGUUGGCCCAUCGCUCCUCUAACGGCUGCUUGACUUCUCCGCUUUGCUCAGGGCAGGUUACUUGUUCCCCAGCAAGACAGGCCCCUGCCUGCUUUAAUUGCUUCACAGCCACUCUGGCACCAGCUAAGGUCACUCUGAAUGACUGCAGCGAAGAAACAGCAGUAACUCCAGCCAGUGCUAUUGUGACAGCUUUUAAAAUGCAAAGGGAGCAGAGACCCAAGAUGUAGCACUGCAGACACCUUUCAACUUUCAAAUAAACUUAGAGAAAAUGCAAGUGUAAAACUCA
rnacentral:lncRNA from 1 species